rnacentral:rRNA from 1 species
UACGUAGGGUGCAGGCGUUAAUCGGAAUUACUGGGCGUAAAGCGUGCGCAGGCGGUCUGCUAAGACAGGUGUGAAAUCCCCGGGCUUAACCUGGGAACUGCGCUUGUUACUGGCAGGCUGGAGUGUGGCAGAGGGGGGUGGAAUACCUAGUGUAGUGGUGAAAUACGUAGAUAUUAGGUGGAAUACCGGUGGCGAAGGCGGCCAACUGGCCUAGCAUUGACGCUGAGAUACGAAAGCGUGGGGAUCAAACAGG